UAUUCAAUCUAAUCUCUAACAUUCACUUUUUAUUCACGUAUAAUGAUGAUUCAAUCGGUUGCAGAGGCUUCUAUUGAAUGAUGAUGUAAUUGGAUUCCAAAGAUUAUAAUUUAUAACUUGUACAUAAUACAUUUGCAGAAGCUUGAAUCGCUGGAUGUGAUUAUAGAUGUGAAAAUAACCUUGUUAUCAAUUCAAUGACUUUGGCAUGGUUCUGCUAUGGAAAAAUUUUAGGACCAUUGAAAGAGUUGAAAAAGAGAGUGGAGGAGACUAUAAAAAUAUGUUGAAGAAACAAGCGUCAACUAGAGAUUUAAAGAUUACGAGACAUGUCAAUCCUUCGGAAUAUGUUGCCAAAGACAUUAAAGUGAUCAAAAACAUAAGAACAUACCAUUUCAUCUAAAAAUUUGGGCAUGAGGAGGGUGGAGGUAAUGCCGAGGCUAAAGAAAAAUAGGAAGAAAGUGGAGAUGAAUAGAAGGAAGAUUGCGAGAAAAUGGUGAAGAAGACGAUGAUGACUAGACUGCUGCCAUAACUUGACCAUCAUCAAUGUGAAUCUUUAUUUACUUUGUUUUAUUGUUUUGUUUUUUAAUAUUAUCAGUUUUUCAUCAAUUUAUGUGUGUUUUAUUUAUUUUACUAAUAAUGGCAUCGACAGGAGGAAUUUGGAGAUGUUGAUCAUUUUAUAUUUAGUACUUGAGCAUGUCCAAGUUUCCAAACAUCUAACUAUCUGUUGUAACGUAAAUAUUGUUGAAUGUAUGUAUGAUUUCUAUGAAUGUGUAUUGAAUAUGAACAAGUAUAGCAGGUAAAGAUAAAAGUUGCGAGAAACUUGCAAGGCUAGCUAUGUUAUGCGCUAAGCGAAUUUUAUGCUACAAACUCGCAUAAUGAGAAUUUCUUAGCUUAGCAAGGAUCUCUGCAAAACCAGCCUUAUUUUUUAUGAGUUUAGGACAUGUUAUGAUUCUCUACAGGGGUAGAAUACAAAGGAGAUUGAA